CAGACUAUCUUGGUAAACUAAUUCCCUGUUCCUCUGGAUGUUAUGGUCUCUCUGCCCCUCCUCAGCUGUGUUCCCCAAGCUUCAGGAAUCAUGGUGAAAGAAUGGAAAGUAAGAUUGUAAGAUCCACAAUAUUAAUGACUACAAGAAAAUAGUUCUUUGGACACAAUGAAGGUUUACAUGUGAACUCACUGUUGAGGCAUCAUAGGCAAGUCUGGAACAAAAGCCAAGAAGGCCUGUGAAGGUAGGAGAUGAAAAGUCUCCAAACAAACCUAAAGGAGUCUUGAAAAUUCUGCUCACAUCUAAGAGACCUGUCAAGCUAAGGCAUUAGCUUGUAAAUCCAAUAAAAUCUCAAACCUCUCA